rnacentral:rRNA from 1 species
AGAUGCGAUCAUACCAGCACUAAAGCACCGGAUCCCAUCAGAACUCCGAAGUUAAGCGUGCUUGGGCGAGAGUAGUACUAGGAUGGGUGCCCUGGGAAGUCCUCGUGUUGCAUUCC